UAGUUAAGGUCUUGAAACCCAAAGAAUUUGGCGGUGUUUUAGUCUAUUCAGAGGAAUCUGUUCCGUGAUCGAUAAUUCACGAAUUACAUUACUUAAUUUGGUUAAAUCAGCUUGUAUACCGCCGUCAUCAGAUAAUUUUAUAAGAAUUAUAAAUUGUCUUGAAAUUUUAUUAAAUUAUAUGUCAGGUCAAGGUGCAGUUUAUAAUUAAGUGGAAAUGGAUUACAAUAAACUUAUUUAAUUGAAUGGAUUUUAGAAUGAAAAAUUUGAAUGAAGGUGGAUUUGAUAGUAAUGUUAUUAUUAAUAAUUUGAUUUUAGCUCUAAAACAUGUACACAUCGCCCGUCGCUCUCAUUUUAAGGUGAGAUAAGUCGUAACAUAGUAGAUGUACUGGAAAGUGUAUCUAGAUAGU
rnacentral:rRNA from 1 species